GCCAAAACAGCCCAUGUACUUGUACUUCCUUUUCCAGGCCAAGGGCACUUGAACCCUAUGCUGCAAUUCUCCAGGCUUUUGGUUUCCAAAGGGCUACAAGGCACCUUCGUAGUAACCACUUACAUUCCCAGGUCCAAGAAUCUUUCUACAUCUACAGGCCCUCUGCGAUUCGAUACCAUAUCCGACGGCUUUGAUGAAGGUGGCUCUAAACAAGCUGCUUCCAUGGAAGCCUAUCUUUCUAGUCUACAUAGCACUGGUCGAAAAACCCUAACGGAUCUCCUCAAGAAACAUCAAAGCUCUUCAAAUCCUAUCGAUUAUGUCAUAUAUGAGCCUUUCCUGUCAUGGGCUCUGGACGUAGCAAAAAAUUUUGGCUUGGUUGCAGCUGGUUUUUUCACUCAUGCUUGCGCAGUUGAUUAUAUUUUCUACAAAUUUUACCGGAAAAUGUUGCCGGAUCCCGUUUCUGGGCCGGUGUCCAUGAAGGGUUUGCCGACGCUAGAACUUCAGGACCUGCCGUCGUUCAUUGUUCUGCCGGAAUCAUAUCCUGCCAACUUGAAGAUGAUAAUGAGUCAAUUUGCUAAUAUGGAGAAGGCUGAUUUUGUUCUCAUAUAUACAUUCUACAAGCUGGGGUCCGAGGUGGUGGAAACAACGUCAAAAAUUUGUUCCUUGUUAACAAUUGGGCCAACAAUUCCAUCAUUUUAUUUGGACAAGAGAAUACAAAACGAUGAUGAUUACGGUAUCGAUCUCCAUACAAUUGAUGCAUCAAUUUCCAUCUCUUGGCUUAACAUGAAACCAGCUGGGUCAGUUGUAUAUGUGUCAUUUGG
rnacentral:misc_RNA from 1 species